rnacentral:rRNA from 1 species
UUGCCAUUUCAUAGCGGAGGAAAAGAAACCAACCGGGAUUGCCUUAGUAACGGCGAGUGAAGCGGCAAAAGCUCAAAUUUGAAAUCUGGUACCUUUGGUGCCCGAGUUGUAAUUUGGAGAGGGCAACUUUGGGACCGUUCCUUGUCUAUGUUCCUUGGAACAGGACGUCAUAGAGGGUGAGAAUCCCGUGUGGCGAGGAGUGCGGUUCUAUGUAAAGUGCCUUCGAAGAGUCGAGUUGUUUGGGAAUGCAGCUCUAAGUGGGUGGUAAAUUCCAUCUAAAGCUAAAUAUUGGCGAGAGACCGAUAGCGAACAAGUACAGUGAUGGAAAGAUGAAAAGAACUUUGAAAAGAGAGUGAAAAAGUACGUGAAAUUGUUGAAAGGGAAGGGCAUUUGAUCAGACAUGGUGUUUUGCGCCCUCUGCUCCUUGUGGGUGGGGGAAUCUCGCAGUUCACUGGGCCAGCAUCAGUUUUGGUGGCAGGAUAAAUCCGUAGGAAUGUAACUUGCUUCGGGAAGUAUUAUAGCCUAUGGGAAUACUGCCAGCUGGGACUGAGGACUGCGACGUAAGUCAAGGAUGCUGGCAUAAUGGUUAUAUGCCGCCCGUCUUGAACCGGGACAA